GGGACAUUUAAAAUCUCACCACACUUGACACCAUUCACAAGUAGCCAUGUGGCUCAGUCUCCUGAGUGCUCCUGCAGAGUGCAGCUCUGCCAGGCUUUUCUCUAGAUAAUCUCGUGUGUGUUACUGUAGCAGUUUGAGUUUAAACACAAGAGUUCACUCGGUUAACAUGUUCUAACCAGCAAGAUUUCUGUUGUUUGCAGGUGCCGUGAGCGAUGUGGAGAUGCAGGAACACUAUGAUGAGUUUUUUGAGGUGAGAGAAUUGAACUCUGUGACUGAUAGACCUGUUGAUCUUCUGUAUCUGUUUGGAAGGAUUUAAAAUGUUUCUCUGCUAAUAAACAUACAUGAGUUAUAUCUAAUGACACUUUGUAAUGUAUAACGAGUCUUAAACCACUGUGGUCUCCCUUCAGGAGGUUUUUACAGAAAUGGAGGAGAAGUAUGGGGAAGUAGAGGAGAUGAACGUCUGUGACAACCUGGGAGACCACCUGGUGGGGAACGUGUACGUCAAGGUAGGAGCCAGGGCGAGACGGCGGCGUGGCCGCUUAGUGUGCCGGGGCCAAGGCCGACAGAGGAUGGGGUGCCUGCCGCCGUGCACCUUGAGAUCGUGGAUGCUCAGGUGCACAGCAGGGUCGGGUGCACUGGCUCGGCGCCUACCGGCUGCGUCAUAUGUGGCGGUGGCCAGCCCGCACGUGCGCCCAGCCAGCAGAACUGAAGGACGGACCGUACACCACAGCCUCGUUAUUUCAGUGUAGAAUAUUUAGUACCUGUUGGUUAGAAGCUGUGUGGACUAAGGAAAAGUUAGGUUUACUCACAUGUUUGGUUUCUUUUUUUUUUUUUUAGUGAAUAAAACUUUAUUUGCCUACACAGCCAUAUUUGCUCCUUUAACCAGUUGAAUUUGAAAAAUGAAAGCAACAUUUGGCAAAAUCUUGGACUAUCUUGAAGUUAAUCUCAUUGAAAAUUAAAGGAUUUUUCAAUUAUCCUGUAAUACUGUUCCACCUUACUAUACCUGAGUGUGUAUAUCUCUCUCUGAUACAUACUUGGAUUGGUAAUUGAGAAAGUCUUAUUAAAGCGUGGAUGGCAAGCACUUCUGUUUUUGUCUUUUCAGUUUCGCCGUGAGGAAGAUGCGGAAAAGGCUGUGAUUGACUUGAAUAACCGUUGGUUUAAUGGACAGCCGAUCCACGCCGAGCUGUCACCCGUGACGGACUUCAGAGAAGCCUGCUGCCGUCAGUAUGAGAUGGGAGAAUGCACACGAGGCGGCUUCUGCAACUUCAUGCAUUUGAAGCCCAUUUCCAGAGAGCUGCGGCGGGAGCUGUAUGGGCGCCGUCGCAAGAA
rnacentral:sRNA from 1 species